rnacentral:miRNA from 1 species
UGUGUGUGUGUGUGUGUGUGCGCGCGCGCACACACACACACACACAUG